rnacentral:tRNA from 1 species
GGGAAUGUAGCUUAGAGGUGAAGUGCUUGCUUUACAUGCAUGAAAGCCCUGGGUUCGAUUCCUCAGCACCA